rnacentral:tRNA from 1 species
GGCCGUAUGCCCGAGUGGUCAAGGGCUCCGAGUGCAAAUCGGGUGUGCGUCGGUUCGAUUCCGACUGCGGCUUC